CGGGCGAAGUGAAGCGGCAACAAGCUUCCAAAUUUUUGAAAUUCUGGGCCCCCGGGCCCGAAGUUGUAAUUUGUAGAGGAUGCUUUUGGUGACGCGCUUACCGAGUCCCCUGGAAUGGGGCGCCACAGAGGGUGAGAGCCCCGUAUGGUUUGCCGCCGAGCCUCUGUAAAGCUCCUUCGACGAGUCGAGUAGUUUGGGAAUGCUGCUCUAAAUGGGAGGUAAAUUUCUUCUAAAGCUAAAUACCGGCCAGAGACCGAUAGCGCACAAGUAGAGUGAUCGAAAGAUGAAAAGCACUUUGAAAAGAGGGUUAAAUAGCACGUGAAAUUGUUGAAAGGGAAGCGCUUGUGACCAGACUCGCGCCGGGCGGAUCAUCCAGCGUUCUCGCUGGUGCACUCCGCCCGGCUCGGGCCAGCAUCGGUUUUCGCCGGGGGACAAAAGCCUCGGGAACGUGGCCCCCUUCGGGGGGUGUUAUAGCCCGUGGCAGAAUACCCCGGCGGGGACCGAGGACCGCGCUUCGGCAAGGAUGCUGGCGUAAUGGUCAUCAGCGAC
rnacentral:rRNA from 1 species